GAAAAGUCAGUGGGAUCUCAAGAAGAUCUGUUUUCAACAGAAAAGGCUGACCAGAUUGGAUGACUUUGUGCACACCUACAAGGUGAUGCAUGAAGGUCUUCUACGAAAGUACCAAGACUCUCUAAAAAUCAAGAUCAAGACCCACAGGGUUGCCGUUGAAAGGUGGAAACAAAGGAAGCAGGGGAGGAGAGGUGUUAGUCUCACCAAUGAAGAAGCCUUUUGAUUUCAAGAAACAUGAAAAGCAGAAGGUUUUAAAGACGAAGACAUCAAACCAGACUGAGGUCCAGGAGAAGUUCAUAAACACCAACGAACCAACCAACAAAACAGAUGUUGACACUUUGUUGGAGGAUGCACCGCCACCACCACCCAUGCUGGACACCCACCAAGACAAGAG